GAACGGCUCUUCGGAGCAGUGGCGGACGGGUGAGUAACGCGUGGGAACGUGCCCUUUGGUUCGGAACAACACAGGGAAACUUGUGCUAAUACCGGAUGUGCCCUUCGGGGGAAAGAUUUAUCGUCAUUGGAGCGGCCCGCGUUGGAUUAGGUAGUUGGUGGGGUAAUGGCCCACCAAGCCGACGAUCCAUAGCUGGUCUGAGAGGAUGAUCAGCCACACUGGGACUGAGACACGGCCCAGACUCCUACGGGAGGCAGCAGUGGGGAAUCUUGCGCAAUGGGCGAAAGCCUGACGCAGCCAUGCCGCGUGAAUGAUGAAGGUCUUAGGAUUGUAAAAUUCUUUCACCGGGGAAGAUAAUGACGGUACCCGGAGAAGAAGCCCCGGCUAACUUCGUGCCAGCAGCCGCGGUAAUACGAAGGGGGCUAGCGUUGCUCGGAAUUACUGGGCGUAAAGGGCGCGUAGGCGGACAGUUAAGUCAGAGGUGAAAGCCCAGGGCUCAACCUUGGAAUUGCCUUUGAUACUGGCUGUCUUGAGUUCGGGAGAGGUGAGUGGAAUGCCGAGUGUAGAGGUGAAAUUCGUAGAUAUUCGGCGGAACACCAGUGGCGAAGGCGACUCACUGGCCCGAUACUGACGCUGAGGCGCGAAAGCGUGGGGAGCAAACAGGAUUAG
rnacentral:rRNA from 1 species